UACUGUAAAUGGCAAACCUGUCGAAAGACAGGGACGCAAAGCUUCCGGUCUACGGGUUUUACCUAUGACAGCGGGGUUGCCAGA
rnacentral:ncRNA from 1 species